rnacentral:rRNA from 1 species
AGCGUACACGGUGGAUGCCCUGGCAGUCAGAGGCGAUGAAGGACGUGCUAAUCUGCGAUAAGCGUCGGUAAGGUGAUAUGAACCGUUAUAACCGGCGAUUUCCGAAUGGGGAAACCCAGUGUGUUUCGACACACUAUCAUUAACUGAAUCCAUAGGUUAAUGAGGCGAACCGGGGGAACUGAAACAUCUAAGUACCCCGAGGAAAAGAAAUCAACCGAGAUUCCCCCAGUAGCGGCGAGCGAACGGGGAGCAGCCCAGAGCCUGAAUCAGUGUGUGUGUUAGUGGAAGCGUCUGGAAAGGCGCGCGAUACAGGGUGACAGCCCCGUACACAAAAAUGCACAUGCUGUGAGCUCGAUGAGUAGGGCGGGACACGUGGUAUCCUGUCUGAAUAUGGGGGGACCAUCCUCCAAGGCUAAAUACUCCUGACUGACCGAUAGUGAACCAGUACCGUGAGGGAAAGGCGAAAAGAACCCCGGCGAGGGGAGUGAAAAAGAACCUGAAACCGUGUACGUACAAGCAGUGGGAGCACAGAGCAAUCUGUGUGACUGCGUACCUUUUGUAUAAUGGGUCAGCGACUUAUAUUCUGUAGCAAGGUUAACCGAAUAGGGGAGCCGAAGGGAAACCGAGUCUUAACUGGGCGUUAAGUUGCAGGGUAUAGACCCGAAACCCGGUGAUCUAGCCAUGGGCAGGUUGAAGGUUGGGUAACACUAACUGGAGGACCGAACCGACUAAUGUUGAAAAAUUAGCGGAUGACUUGUGGCUGGGGGUGAAAGGCCAAUCAAACCGGGAGAUAGCUGGUUCUCCCCGAAAGCUAUUUAGGUAGCGCCUCGUGAAUUCAUCUCCGGGGGUAGAGCACUGUUUCGGCAAGGGGGUCAUCCCGACUUACCAACCCGAUGCAAACUGCGAAUACCGGAGAAUGUUAUCACGGGAGACACACGGCGGGUGCUAACGUCCGUCGUGAAGAGGGAAACAACCCAGACCGCCAGCUAAGGUCCCAAAGUCAUGGUUAAGUGGGAAACGAUGUGGGAAGGCCCAGACAGCCAGGAUGUUGGCUUAGAAGCAGCCAUCAUUUAAAGAAAGCGUAAUAGCUCACUGGUCGAGUCGGCCUGCGCGGAAGAUGUAACGGGGCUAAACCAUGCACCGAAGCUGCGGCAGCGACGCUUAUGCGUUGUUGGGUAGGGGAGCGUUCUGUAAGCCUGUGAAGGUGUACUGUGAGGUAUGCUGGAGGUAUCAGAAGUGCGAAUGCUGACAUAAGUAACGAUAAAGCGGGUGAAAAGCCCGCUCGCCGGAAGACCAAGGGUUCCUGUCCAACGUUAAUCGGGGCAGGGUGAGUCGACCCCUAAGGCGAGGCCGAAAGGCGUAGUCGAUGGGAAACAGGUUAAUAUUCCUGUACUUGGUGUUACUGCGAAGGGGGGACGGAGAAGGCUAUGUUGGCCGGGCGACGGUUGUCCCGGUUUAAGCGUGUAGGCUGGUUUUCCAGGCAAAUCCGGAAAAUCAAGGCUGAGGCGUGAUGACGAGGCACUACGGUGCUGAAGCAACAAAUGCCCUGCUUCCAGGAAAAGCCUCUAAGCAUCAGGUAACAUCAAAUCGUACCCCAAACCGACACAGGUGGUCAGGUAGAGAAUACCAAGGCGCUUGAGAGAACUCGGGUGAAGGAACUAGGCAAAAUGGUGCCGUAACUUCGGGAGAAGGCACGCUGAUAUGUAGGUGAAGUCCCUCGCGGAUGGAGCUGAAAUCAGUCGAAGAUACCAGCUGGCUGCAACUGUUUAUUAAAAACACAGCACUGUGCAAACACGAAAGUGGACGUAUACGGUGUGACGCCUGCCCGGUGCCGGAAGGUUAAUUGAUGGGGUCAGCGCAAGCGAAGCUCUUGAUCGAAGCCCCGGUAAACGGCGGCCGUAACUAUAACGGUCCUAAGGUAGCGAAAUUCCUUGUCGGGUAAGUUCCGACCUGCACGAAUGGCGUAAUGAUGGCCAGGCUGUCUCCACCCGAGACUCAGUGAAAUUGAACUCGCUGUGAAGAUGCAGUGUACCCGCGGCAAGACGGAAAGACCCCGUGAACCUUUACUAUAGCUUGACACUGAACAUUGAGCCUUGAUGUGUAGGAUAGGUGGGAGGCUUUGAAGUGUGGACGCCAGUCUGCAUGGAGCCGACCUUGAAAUACCACCCUUUAAUGUUUGAUGUUCUAACGUGGACCCGUGAUCCGGGUUGCGGACAGUGUCUGGUGGGUAGUUUGACUGGGGCGGUCUCCUCCUAAAGAGUAACGGAGGAGCACGAAGGUUGGCUAAUCCUGGUCGGACAUCAGGAGGUUAGUGCAAUGGCAUAAGCCAGCUUGACUGCGAGCGUGACGGCGCGAGCAGGUGCGAAAGCAGGUCAUAGUGAUCCGGUGGUUCUGAAUGGAAGGGCCAUCGCUCAACGGAUAAAAGGUACUCCGGGGAUAACAGGCUGAUACCGCCCAAGAGUUCAUAUCGACGGCGGUGUUUGGCACCUCGAUGUCGGCUCAUCACAUCCUGGGGCUGAAGUAGGUCCCAAGGGUAUGGCUGUUCGCCAUUUAAAGUGGUACGCGAGCUGGGUUUAGAACGUCGUGAGACAGUUCGGUCCCUAUCUGCCGUGGGCGCUGGAGAAUUGAGGGGGGCUGCUCCUAGUACGAGAGGACCGGAGUGGACGCAUCACUGGUGUUCGGGUUGUCAUGCCAAUGGCACUGCCCGGUAGCUAAAUGCGGAAGAGAUAAGUGCUGAAAGCAUCUAAGCACGAAACUUGCCCCGAGAUGAGUUCUCCCUGACUCCUUGA